CUCUACUAUUAUCUAGUAUUACUAUAUUUUUCCAUUAACAUAAAAAAGCAUAUUCUUUCUCAUUUUUAUUGAAUAAAUAAAAGUAAUAAAUAAGCAAAAUUUUCAUUUUUAUCUAUUUUCAAUUGAAUUUAAAUUGUAAAAAAAAAAACUUCAUAAAAGAUUAGGAAAAGUAAAAGUAUAUGAUAUAGAAACCUAUAAUAUAAAUGAAUACAAAUAAAAACAAACAAAUCGAACCAAACUAUAAAAAGUACUUGUUAUUUUUAAAGUUUAAAGAAACUAUGUAAGGCAAAUAGUACUAAAUAAAAAAAAGGAGCAAUAACGCCCUCUUGUUUUAUCAAGAGGGAAGCUAUUGCUCCUUUUUUAGUUCAAAAACUCCUAUACAAUCAGACCAAAGUC
rnacentral:misc_RNA from 1 species